UAAUACGUAGGGUCCGAGCGUUGUCCGGAAUUAUUGGGCGUAAAGGGCUCGUAGGCGGUUCGUCACGUCGGGAGUGAAAACUCGGAGCUCAACUCCGAGCCUGCUUCCGAUACGGGCAGACUAGAGGUAGGCAGGGGAGAGCGGAACUCCUGGUGUAGCGGUGGAAUGCGCAGAUAUCAGGAAGAACACCGGUGGCGAAGGCGGCUCUCUG
rnacentral:rRNA from 1 species